rnacentral:lncRNA from 1 species
AUAGUACCAAGGAAGACUCCCAUCAAGGACCAGAAAGCAAUAUCUCUCAUCAUCUAACAUCAAGGCAGCUGACAGCUGGCCCCUGCCUGUCUUAUCUUUCCAACUCAAUAGCAGACAAGACCUUCCUCAGAGAGACUUGGGGAUGAGGAGUGAACACAACAUUUUGCAAAACAGCACAAAGCAGAUUGCACGUUACUCAUUUACAAAGGAAUAUAAAGAUGGAUGUCGUAUGUUCUCAGUGCUUGGACAAUAUUUAAGGACUUCUGGAAAAAGGUGAGAAGGACAGGUGGGUCUGGAGUAAUGGAUGGCCAGUGACCUUUCAUAACUUUUAGGAAGGAAAACCAUCACCAAACCAGACAGCUCAACUGAGAUGUGUUCUUGUACAAAAAUAAAAUAAAAUAAAAAUAAAAAAGGAAAAAUGGG